rnacentral:rRNA from 1 species
UACGUAGGGCGCAAGCGUUGUCCGGAAUUAUUGGGCGUAAAGAGCUCGUAGGCGGUUUGUCGCGUCUGUCGUGAAAGCUUGGGGCUUAACCCCAAGUCUGCGGUGGAUACGGGCAGACUAGAGGCAGGUAGGGGAGAACGGAAUUCCCGGUGUAGCGGUGAAAUGCGCAGAUAUCAGGAGGAACACCGGUGGCGAAGGCGGUUCUCUGGGCAUGAUCUGACGCUGAGGAGCGAAAGUGUGGGGAGCGAACAGG